rnacentral:tRNA from 1 species
GGGCGCGUAGCUCAAUUGGCAGAGCAACUGACUCUUAAUCAGUAGGUUGAAGGUUCAAUUCCUUCCGCGCUCACCA